rnacentral:lncRNA from 1 species
AGCCUGUGCGUACCCCUAGCCACUCCCCUUACGCUGCCCUAUAAGAUCUUUUGGGAGACCCAAGGAGCUGUCUUUUCUAGCCGUCUGCCCUGGCGGGUGGGUGAAAGGCCCGAGCUAACAUGGGGUUAGUUCGUUAAAUUACAAUAAAGCCUCGUGCAGUUUGCAGCAAGCUCUCGAAUCCGCCUGGUGAUUGGGGUGACCGCGAACCUGGCCUGAGACCCCGGAUACUUGAGUUUUCGGGGGUCUAACAUUUUGGGGGCUCGUCCGCAAUUUGCGACCACCCUUCACCUGAGUGGAUUCUAUCAUGGAGCACAUGGCACGGGAAAGGAGUUCUGCCAUGUGUCACGGGUUAGAAUGUGUUAUGUUGGAGUCCCCC